rnacentral:lncRNA from 1 species
UACAAUCGAAAACCCAAUUAAAUUAACAUACAAUCCAAAAUGCAAUAUAAGAAGCAAUAAUCUACAAAUCAUAUGUGAGGAUACUAAACUUAUAACCAUAUUUCAAAAACAACCGAUGUCCAACCAUUAAAACACCUGCUAAGUGUUAUAUUUGACUCUGGAGUCUGGAUAUUUCACACAAUGACUAUUAAUAAAUAUAUUACAUCAAUAUCAAUAUAUUUCAUAAAAUCCCUAAAGGAAGAAAUUGGGAUUUAUGUCCCAAAGCCUGAGAAACUCUUUAAUACUUCCAAAUGUGUGUCUCUUAUUGAUAUUCCUGCAUAUGAAAUUAAUGUUAGCAACAAAUUGGAAAUAAAAUUCAUGAUCAAGC